GCGUAACUAUGAAGUUGGCGUCUUCAAAGCACGUCUUUAACUUUUCGCUUUCUUUAUCUUAUAUCUUCCACUUUCUUCAUUGAACUCCAAUCACUCUGUGAACUCUUUUGCCCGAGAAAAUGGCCGAGUGUGAUUUGACUAGCCCAUUUCCUUCAACUCCUCCGCCACCUUCAUCACCACCACUGCCGGCCUUGCGGCCUUUUUCUGUACCCAUAACCCCUCAGAGAAACCCAGGAGAUGACUGCUUUAGCUGCAGAAGGAAAGGCCAUUGGGCCAAA
rnacentral:misc_RNA from 1 species